rnacentral:rRNA from 1 species
GAUGAACGCUGGCGGCGUGCCUAAUACAUGCAAGUCGAGCGAACAGACGAGGAGCUUGCUCCUCUGACGUUAGCGGCGGACGGGUGAGUAACACGUGGAUAACCUCCCUAUAAGACUGGGAUAACUUCGGGAAACCGGAGCUAAUACCGGAUAAUAUAUUGAACCGCAUGGUUCAAUAGUGAAAGACGGUUUUGCUGUCACUUAUAGAUGGAUCCGCGCCGCAUUAGCUAGUUGGUAAGGUAACGGCUUACCAAGGCAACGAUGCGUAGCCGACCUGAGAGGGUGAUCGGCCACACUGGAACUGAGACACGGUCCAGACUCCUACGGGAGGCAGCAGUAGGGAAUCUUCCGCAAUGGGCGAAAGCCUGACGGAGCAACGCCGCGUGAGUGAUGAAGGUCUUCGGAUCGUAAACCUCUGUUAUUAGGGAAGAACAAAUGUGUAAGUAACUAUGCACGUCUUGACGGUACCUAAUCAGAAAGCCACGGCUAACUACGUG